rnacentral:rRNA from 1 species
GACGAACGCUGGCGGCGUGCUUAACACAUGCAAGUCGAACGAACUCGACCUUCGGGUCAUAUGGGUGAGUGGCGAACGGGUGAGUAACACGUGAGAAACCUACCCCGAAGUUCGGAAUAACUCAGAGAAAUUUGAGCUAAUACCGGAUGCCCUGCUACCAACUAGUGUUGGAAGCAGGAAAGAUUUAUCGCUUUGGGAGGGUCUCGCGGCCUAUCAGCUAGUUGGUGAGGUAACGGCUCACCAAGGCAUCGACGGGUAACUAGUCUGAGAGGAUGAAUAGUCACACUGGAACUGAGACACGGUCCAGACUCCUACGGGAGGCAGCAGUGGGGAAUAUUGCACAAUGGGCGAAAGCCUGAUGCAGCGACGCCGCGUGGGGGAUGAAGGCCUUAGGGUCGUAAACCCCUUUCAGUAGGGACGAAAAUGACGGUACCUACAGAAGAAGCCCCGGCCAACUACG